UGUCAGUCUUGCGGAAAUGCGGAAAUGACGCCUUUACGACAUUGGGUUGUAUUUGGUUUCUGAUGGUUUUGGUUAACCCGGUCCACUGUGGACCAGACAUGUUGAAGUGUCUUUAAUAUCCAUAAGAGUGGCUUUAUAGCUCGCUCAUUUUGCAACACGAGUUUUGACUCGGUUAAAACCCACCCUGGGCUUCCGUUAGAGACGGUGUAAGUUCUUCCCCGCGUGGAUCUGCAUCAGAGUCAGCGGAAGAAGGAGGCAGGAGGAGAUGUCUCACUAUUCAUCCUCCCGUAGCUCAUCUCGGGCCACCGACUGUAAAGUGUAUGUUGGGGACUUAGGCAAUGGUGCUGCCAAGGGGGAGCUAGAGCGAGCAUUCAGCUAUUACGGCCCACUGAGGACCGUCUGGGUGGCCAGGAACCCACCUGGGUUUGCCUUCGUGGAGUUUGAGGAUCCCAGGGAUGCAGAAGAUGCUGUGAAGGGCAUGGAUGGAAAGAUUCUUUGUGGUUCCCGUGUUCGUGUGGAGCUGUCGACAGGCCUCUCCAGGAAGGGCCGUGGACGCCCCAGCCGACGCCAGUUUGACCCCAAUGAUCGGUGUUACCAGUGUGGGGACCGAGGCCACUACGCCUAUGACUGCUACCGCUUUAGCAAGAGAGGAGGCCGUCGCAGCAGGUCCCGUUCUCGUUCUAGAUCUCGCUCAAGGUCCAGGUCCCGCGGGCGCCGUUAUCGCUCUCGCUCCCGCAGCCGGAGCCACAGCAGGAGCCGUCGCCGAUCUCCAUCCUAUUCCAGACGAAGGAGCCGGUCUGGCUCCCCAGCCCGUUCCAAGUCCAGGACUCCGGUGAGAAGUCGUUCCAGGUCUCGGUCUCGGUCUACCUCUGCACCCAGAGGGCGCUCUUCGCCCAGAGGCCGCUCUCCUCCCAGAGGUCGCUCCCCCCCAAGAGGUCGCUCUGUCUCCCAUUCCCGAUCACGAUCUCAUUCAGCCGACCACAAAAGGAGCAGCGUGUGGUGGGAGCUGAGCACUGCACUGAAACCACAGCUGAUCCCAGGCCCAGGGUCUGCCAGCUGGCGGUGUGUACGUCCUGCGGGAGGGUGACUAAGCGCUGACCUGAGAUCAGCCUUCGCCUGCAUCUGGUGUUAGACAGCGAGAAAGAGGUCGACCUUCCGACCUACCCUCCCCACAGUGAAUGGGUGACCGUCUGUUCGACCGACGCACACGCUCAGACGAGAUCAGCCCGUGCACACAUUCAGUUGUUCUACUAGAGUCUUCAGAAGUACCAGAGGGCUGACCCACACAGAUCAUUUAAAUCCAUUACCUACCUACCAGACCCCCCUACCUACCAGAGUUCUUCGGCCUCUGACUUAGCUUCUGAAAGUGAGAGAAAGAGCUGACGAGAGAUCAGACUUCAAGAGCCUCCCAGCGCAGUCUCACCGAGUUGUAGUCAUCCUUCGCUUCUGUGUACUUGUUGUUUCUGCCACUGUCUCCAAAGUCGUUCCCGUUCAGCAAGCCCUCACCGCAGCCCUACGCCAGCAGCUGACUGAGAGAAGAAGACUUAUUAUUCCUUAUCAGACAGACCCACAACCCCUGCACCUGUCUGCUUUCACUGUCUGACUAAUCCAAAUCUUUUUUAAGUUACAUUUUCUUCCCCAUGAUUGUAUUCUGUGUGCAGCUUUUGGUUGUUAGUCAGUAUAGUAAGAAAAACAUCUAUUUUAAUUUGAUCGUUUUAGUUGUUGCUUCUGCUGCAUAGCUUAUCUUCCUUAUUUGAAGUGGGGUAGCUACACUCCUGUGAAGGUAACGUUGCCAUUAACUUUUAGCUAGGUUUUGUGCAGUUUAAGAUGGGGUUUUUGAGGGGAGGGACAUUGCAUUUAAAACUGCUUUUAUUCCUGAAAGUGUCAAAUCUCAAACUAUUUUUCUCCAUUGAGAAUUGGCAAAAUAUUAUUAUUUUGUAUUGCCUCCAUUUUGAUUUCUAAAUUCUGAUGCUGUUAAAUGCUUCAUGAUGGCAUGAGGAGGUAUUUGUUGGCCGGCAUGCCUUUAAAAUGACGUUGAGUGUGUUUCUGUCAUGCACUGUCCCUUUUAUGAACAAGAUCAGUUUCAGUGUGUGCUGAAUUGAUGUUCCCCAUGUGUUGAUCUCCGAUCUGUUCCAGUCACUUUUAGUUUUACAGUAUACACAGUGCUGGAGUUUGAUUUCUGUAGGGCUGCUUUAAUAGCUUUGGGCUGUUCCUGGCUUAUAUGGUAAGACGGAGGCAGUUUUAUUUUAGAAUAAACCUCUUCAACAUA